CCUGCCUGCAGAAAGGAGCUACCCACUAGGGGUCUCCUCUGCUCUGAGAGCUGAACACUCAUUGGGAUGACCUGCCUACAGGU
rnacentral:miRNA from 1 species